rnacentral:misc_RNA from 1 species
GGUUGGAUCAUUACUAUAAAUAUCCACGGCCCGACGGCAUACGUUAAACAGGAGACUUUGUCCCAUUGACGUUGUCGUAGGGAACCUGGUAACAUUAUGUGAACUGUAUUGUCUCUGGCGGGGGGGGUGGAGUAUAAGUCAUUUACUCUAUCUGUCAGCUUGACGCUAAUAUUUUGUCAAGCCGUGGACAUCCCGUCAAACUCUUGUAAAACCUAUUGCCUGUUUUUUAUGUCUGACAUUUUUUGUAUGAAAUAUACAAACAACUUUUGGCAACGGAUCUCUUGGCUCUCGCAACGAUGAAGAACGCAGCGAAAUGCGAUAAGUAGUGUGAAUUGCAGAAUUCAGUGAAUCAUCGAAUCUUUGAACGCACCUUGCGCUUCCUGGUAUUCCGGGGAGCAUGCCCGUUUCAGAAUCAUUAAAAUCUCACAAACUGUUAUGUCAUUGCACUUAUAGUAUUGUGGAUUUGGAUGCUUUGCCUCAGGCAAUCACCAGAAAAAGAUUGUAUGUGCGCCAAUAGGACAAAAUUGGUUAUCAAAAGUGCAACAGAGGAAACUCCAUUCGCUUUUGGCAAUUUAUUUUGAUACUGAUGGAACAUGUGCUCCAACUAUCAACAAGUGUCAAACUAUUUUGGUUUGCUGCUUGAUAACUUGGUCUGAAAUCGGGCAAGAAAACCCGCUGAACUUAAGCAUAUCAAUAAGCGGAGGAAAAGAAACUAACAAGGAUUCCCCUAGUAACGGCGAGUGAAGCGGGAAUAGCUCAAAUUUGAAAUCUCACAGGGUUACCUGUGUGAAUUGUAGUUUAGAGAAACGUUUUCGGGGGCGACUUGGUUAUAAGUCCUUUGGAAUGAGGCAUCAUAGAGGGUGAGAAUCCCGUUUAUGAUCCAAUGUUCGCUCCUAUGUGAUACGUUUUCCAAGAGUCAGGUAGUUUGGGAUUGCUGCCUAAAAUGGGUGGUAAAUACCAUCUAAAGCUAAAUAUUGGCGAGAGACCGAUAGCGAACAAGUACCGUGAGGGAAAGAUGAAAAGAACUUUGAAAAGAGAGUUAAACAGUACGUGAAAUUGCCAAAAGGGAAACGCUUGGAACCAGUAUUGUUUGCAAGUAAUCAAUCACACGGCCUGAAAGGGUUUAGUGUGGUGCACUUGCUUGCAAACAGGUCAACAUCAGUUUGGUUUGGGGUACAAAACCAGCGGAAGGUAGCUUGGGCUUCGGCUUGAGUGUUAUAGCUUCUGGUAAUGCCCUGGACUGGACUGAGGACUGCAGUGUUUUUUGGGUUGCAAGUUGCCUCUGGAUUAUUGUUUGUAGACAGCUUGCUGACUAGAGACAAUUCUGAAGGAGCCCGGCUUGUUUAUCACACCAACACUUAGGAUGUUGACGAAAUGGUUCCAAACGACCCGUCUUGAAACACGGACCAAGGAGUCUAACAUAUAUGCGAGUAUUUGGGUGGCAAACCCUUAUGCGAAAUGAAAGUGAAAAUGGUGGGAUCUUCGGUGCACCAUCGACCGGUCUGGAUUUUUUUGAUAGAUCUGAGUAAGAGCAUAUCUGUUGGGACCCGAAAGAUGGUGAACUAUGCCUGAAUAGGGUGAAGCCAGAGGAAACUCUGGUGGAGGCUCGUAGCGAUUCUGACGUGCAAAUCGAUCGUCAAAUUUGGGUAUAGGGGCGAAAGACUAAUCGAACCAUCAGCUCAACGGUGGUUAAGAGGGACGGAAAAGUACGAUCCCUAGUCCUGUGAAAGCGGGCGAGACUGUCAAAUUGCUGGAACACCCUAAAGGUGCUGGUACUAAACCUGCUUGGAAACGAGCAGGUGGUCGAGUAACUUGCUCGAGUAUAGUGACAAUCCAGUACAUGAAGGCCUUUACCGGCUGGAAAUGGGCAAUCAGCAGCCAAGCUCUAAGUUCCCCGCUGUCGGGGGGGAAUAUGAGUGCAGUUCAGAGACUAGAUGGCAGUCGGUACUCGUGGUUUUCAAAAAGCGAGUGCUUAAGGUAUAGUCCAAUCCCAUCCGAAAGGAUGGCCUUCAGACAAAGCAUCUGGGUGCUUUCACCUUUUUUGACCUUGAUGCCCGAAUCUGAAGGGCCCGGGAAUCCCCCCCCAAAUCAUGAAUCAUUCAAUGUUUUGGGGACUCUUGGGCGUAGCAAUGCUAGUAGCUGGUUCCCUC